rnacentral:rRNA from 1 species
UACAGAGGUCUCGAGCGUUAGGCGGAAUCACUGGGCUUAAAGCGUGUGUAGGCGGAUCGGUAAGUACCUUGUGAAAUCCCACAGCUUAACUGUGGAACUGCUCGGUAUACUGCCAGUCUUGAGCCAGCUAGGGGCUACCGGAACAAAUGGUGGAGCGGUGAAAUGCGUAGAUAAUCAUUUGGAACGCCAAUGGUGAAAACAGGUAGCUGGGGCUGUGCUGACGCUGGAGACACGAAAGCCAGGGGAGCAAACGGG